CACGUAGGGCGCAAGCGUUGUCCGGAAUUAUUGGGCGUAAAGAGCUCGUAGGCGGUCUGUUGCGUCCGCUGUGAAAACUCGGGGCUUAACCCCGAGCCUGCAGUGGAUACGGGCAGACUAGAGGUAGGUAGGGGAGAAUGGAAUUCCCGGUGUAGCGGUGAAAUGCGCAGAUAUCGGGAAGAACACCGGUGGCGAAGGCGGGUCUCUGGGCAGUAACUGACGCUGAGGAGCGAAAGCGUGGGGAGCGAACAGG
rnacentral:rRNA from 1 species